rnacentral:rRNA from 1 species
UACGAAGGGGGCUAGCGUUGCUCGGAAUUACUGGGCGUAAAGGGCGCGUAGGCGGAUAGUUUAGUCAGAGGUGAAAGCCCAGGGCUCAACCUUGGAAUUGCCUUUGAUACUGGCUGUCUUGAGUACGGGAGAGGUGAGUGGAACUCCGAGUGUAGAGGUGAAAUUCGUAGAUAUUCGGAAGAACACCAGUGGCGAAGGCGACUCACUGGCCCGUUACUGACGCUGAGGCGCGAAAGCGUGGGGAUCAAACAGG